rnacentral:tRNA from 2 species
AGUUAAUUAGCUUAACCNAAAGCAUUUAUUUUGAAAGUAAAAGAAAAGAUAUUAAAUCUAUUAACUU